UUUGCAUACGUUUUUUUCCUC
rnacentral:piRNA from 1 species